GGAAUUUUGGACAAUGGGCGCAAGCCUGAUCCAGCAAUGCCGCGUGAGUGAUGAAGGCCUUAGGGUUGUAAAGCUCUUUUACCCGGGAUGAUAAUGACAGUACCGGGAGAAUAAGCUCCGACUAACUCCGUGCCAGCAGCCGCGGUAAUACGAAGGGGGCUAGCGUUGUUCGGAAUCACUGGGCGUAAAGCGCACGUAGGCGGACUUUCAAGUCAGGGGUGAAAUCCCGGGGCUCAACCUCGGAACUGCCUCUGAUACUGUUGGUCUCGAGUCCGAUAGAGGUGGGUGGAAUUCCUAGUGUAGAGGUGAAAUUCGUAGAUAUUAGGAAGAACACCGGUGGCGAAGGCGGCCCACUGGAUCGGUACUGACGCUGAGGUGCGAAAGCGUGGGGAGCAAA
rnacentral:rRNA from 1 species